UACGUAGGGUGCGAGCGUUGUCCGGAAUUACUGGGCGUAAAGAGCUCGUAGGUGGUUUGUCGCGUUGUUCGUGAAAACUCACAACUCAAUUGUGGGCGUGCGGGCGGAUACGGGGCAGACUGGAGUACUGCAGGGGGAGACUGGAAUUCCUGGUGUAGCGGUGGAAUGCGCAGAUAUCAGGAGGAACACCGGUGGCGAAGGCGGG
rnacentral:rRNA from 1 species